GUGUAUGGCCAUACCACCCUGAACGUGCCCAGUCCUUUCUGAUCUCGGAAGCUAAGCAGAGUCGGGCCUGGUUAGUACUUGGAUGGGAAAAAUAACAGCAGCUAGGAUAUAUACU
rnacentral:rRNA from 1 species